GAUGAACGCUGGCGGCGUGCCUAAUACAUGCAAGUCGAGCGAACAGACGAGGAGCUUGCUCCUCUGACGUUAGCGGCGGACGGGUGAGUAACACGUGGAUAACCUACCUAUAAGACUGGGAUAACUUCGGGAAACCGGAGCUAAUACCGGAUAAUAUAUUGAACCGCAUGGUUCAAUAGUGAAAGACGGUUUUGCUGUCACUUAUAGAUGGAUCCGCGCCGCAUUAGCUAGUUGGUAAGGUAACGGCUUACCAAGGCAACGAUUCGUAGCCGACCUGAGAGAUGGAUCGGCCACACUGGAAGUGGAACACGGACCAGACUCCUACGGGAGGGAGCAGUAGGGAAUCGUCGGCAAUGGGCGAAAGCAUGACGGAGCAACGCGGAGUGAGUGGUGAAGGUGUUCGGAUCGUAAAGCUCUGUUAUUAGGGAAGAACAAAUGUGUAAGUAGCUAUGCACGUCUUGACGGUACCUAAUCAGAAAGCCACGGCUAACUACGUG
rnacentral:rRNA from 1 species